GUGUUAGAGCUAUGCUUGCCUUAAAGGUUAAGCCAUACAUAUGCAAGUAUAAACUAAUUCGAACUGUGAAAUUGUGAAUGACUCAUUAAAUCAGUUAUAGUUUGUUUGAUGGUACAUGCUACUCAGAUAACUGUAGUAAUUCUAGAGCUGUGCAAUAAAAAAACCCUGACUUCCGGGAGGACACAUUUUUAGAUAAAAGGCUUACAUGGGCUUUACUCGCUGAUCCGAUGAUUCAUGAUAACUUGGCGGGUCGCACGAUCCUCGUGCUGGCGGCGCAUCAUUCUAAUUUCUACCCUAGCAACUUUGAUGGUAGGAUAGGUGCCUACCACGGUGGUGACAGGUGACCGAGAAUUAAGAUUCGAUUCCAGAGAGGGAGCCUGAGAAACGACUAUCACAUCCAAAGAAUGCAACAGGCGCGCAAAUUACCCAAUCAUGACACGAGGAGGUAGUGAUAAUAAAUAAUAAUAUCAGGGGUGUUAGUGUCGGGUAAUUGGAAUUGGUACAAUCUAAUCCCUUAACGAGGAUCCAUUACAGGGCAAGUCUCUGGUGCCGAUAGCCGUGGUAAUUCCAUCUCCAAUAGCAUAUAUUUAAGUUGUUGCAAUUAAAAAGCUCAUAAUUGGACCUUGGGUCGUGUUGGGUGGUCCGCCUCACAGCGAGAACCGACUUACUCAACCUUCUGUCGGCAAUGCGCUCUUGGCCUUAAUUGUCCGGGUUGUGCCUCCGGCGCUGAAAUUAGAGUGCUCAAAGCAAGCCAUCCAUUUGGAUACAUUAGCAUGGGAUAACAUCGUAGGAUUCCGUUCCUAUUAUGUCAACCUCCGAAUCGUCGGAGUAAUGAUUGAUAGGGACAGCCAGGGGCAUUCAUAUUUUAUAGUCAGGGGUGAAAUUCUUAGGUUUAUGAAAGACGAACAACUGUGAAAGAAUUUGUCAAGGAUAUUUUCAUUAAUUAAGAACGAACGUGGUGGGGGGGGGGGCUCGAAGACAAUCAUAUAGCAUCCUAGUAUAUAUAUUUUUUGUUAGCACUAGGUUGAAUAUAAUUUAAGCCAUACUCCCUCCGUCCUAAAAUAUAGUGCAUUGUGACUUCUAAAAUUUAUACUAAAAUAUAGUGCAUUCUAUGUGAUGACUAUACCUAGAUUUGGUAAAAAAAAAUUAAAAAGAAAACCAUAAUUUGUGGAGAAACUCUUUAAUGGGGUAUAAUUCAUGGGUACAUGCGUCAUUUGAGUGUUCCCUUAAGCUAUCUUAAAAUUUUUAGAAUGGACUAUAUUAUGGGGACGAAUGGAGCAAAUUAUAAAAUUGGUUGCAUCUCCCUUCCUAUCGCCUUUGAACACAAGAAACAAGUCCCACAAAGUACAUCGAAUGCUAUAGAAUUGGUAAAAGGUCCUUUGGUCGUGUGGUAGGACUGUCCAUUGAGAAGCGCUACCCAAUAGUAUUUGAACCCGAUGUAGCAAAGUGUUUUCUAAUUUUUUUUCCAAAGAAAAGUAGGGUAUACGCACGCUUGUGUGUUUCCUAUAACCUCCAAGUCAC
rnacentral:rRNA from 1 species